rnacentral:rRNA from 1 species
UACGGGGGGGCAAGCGUUGUUCGGAAUUACUGGGCGUAAAGGGCUCGUAGGUGGCCAACUAAGUCGGACGUGAAAUCCCUCGGCUUAACCGGGGAACUGCGUCCGAUACUGGUUGGCUUGAGUUUGGGAGAGGGAUGCGGAAUUCCAGGUGUAGCGGUGAAAUGCGUAGAUAUCUGGAGGAACACCGGUGGCGAAGGCGGCAUCCUGGACCAACACUGACGCUGAGUGAGCGAAAGCCAGGGGAGCAAACAGGG